CCUUUUACAGCUGGAACUGAGAGCCAUGGACACUGCAUGAUCAAAUACAAGAGCCAAUCAAGGAGCGGUGGCUUCCCUGACAGGAGCUAAAGCUUCGUGUGCCAGGUCCGAUCGUAUUUUCAGAAGCUGAGCAGGGGAUCAGCAGUGGCCCAGACAGAAGGAGUCCAUAGCCUUGAAUUCGCUGAGGGCCUGGACAGGGGAGAUGUGUUUCUUCUGGGAGCCUCGUCGCACACGCGUCUGGCACUCCUCGGGCUUCUCCCUUUUUACCAGAGGCUUCUUCUCAGGGGCCUUCAU